GAGAGAGAGGGAGAGCGAGCGAGAGAGAGAGGGAGAGAGACAGAGAGAGAGAGAGAGAGAGAGAGAGAGAGAGAGAGAGAGAGCAAUACAAAGGGGGAAAAGAUGGUGAUUGUGAACAGAGCUGUCAAGCAGUCUCUCCCUCCUAUCCCUCAGAUCAUCCAUGCUAUUGGAUGGUGCACAAACAUUUGCAUUUCAAUAGUGGCUGUCAUAGUCACAGCAGGCGGAGACGAAUAAAAAGGAAAAACUGAAAACACUCAGGGAGGCUUUACGGUGUGAGGAUGCAGGCUUUUAUUGUGUCUCAAAUGCCACUCUAUUCCCUAAACAGUGCACUACUUUUGACCAGGGCCAAUGGGGAAUAGGCUGCCCUUUGUGACGCAGGCUUUGGGUCUUCAGUCAGCCAUAGCACAGGACGAGCCAACCAGGCAGGCAGGGUAAUGCACUGUGAUACAGGCCAGACGUAACCUCCUGUGAAGAUAGGGAAUUGACACAGCAGUGUAAAACAGUAGCCCCACCCCUGGAGCAGAGACAUGCCGCUAGGAGCUCCAGGGAGGAGGAUCAGGUAUCUGGCCCUACAUGUUGAUCUAUGAUCAGACAUUUAACCUGGACCCUGUGAAUGGGACUCAGAUUGUGAACAGCUGUAUUGUUGUUAUCGGUGUCUUGGGUAGCGGUCGCUGUGACUUACUAGGUUCUAUAGACAGAUACAGAGAGAGAUGGAGAGACCGUAAAACACAGAGAUAAAAAAAAGAGAGUAAGAAAAGCGAAGGGAGAGAGAUACAUUCUGCGUAUUGUGCAUAUUCAUGUCAGCAGAUUAAUGUGGGUCAACAGAGCUAAAAUACAGACAAUGUGCAUCAUUUGAUGUGAGCACUUUGUGUGCUGCUGGCAAUCCUUUUGUCGAGAUGAAUGUGGCUUAAAACGUCCAUGCCACGUUUAAUAAUGUGAUCAAAAAUGUAUCGUGGUCUUUAACUGGUGACCCACUUCACACAGGUUCACCCACACAGUUCCACUGUACAGCAGUUCUAGCUCAAGAGAAUAAUACCCCUCUUAUUUCAUAACAACUGAAGGAGGGGCGGAGUAAGGAGGUACACCUUUAAUUAACACCAACACCUCUUUCUGGAUAUUAACACCAUGAGCGUCCACUUUAAUUAGACACACUAAUUAGCAAUUAAACAAGACUGUGUCAUGGGGAGGUUGUGUACGUGUGUGUGUGUGCACGCACGCUGGUGUGUGUGUGUGUGUGUGUGUGUGUGUAUAGGGUCGGUCAAUAUGCAGCAGUGGGUUGUGUGUAGAGUCCUUAAGCUAAUUGAAUUAGAUCUGCCUGCCUGGCUCGAGAGUUGAUUAGGAGUCUGUGAGAUUGGAAUAUUGACAGGCAACUGUGGAGAAAUGCAUAAACAAGGAGAGAACAGCUCAUAUCCACCUACACGCACAGAGAGAGAGAGAGAGAGAGAGAGAGAGAGAAAGAGAGAGAGAGAGAGAGAGAGAGAAAGAGAGAGAGAGAGAGAGAAAGAGAGAGAGAGAGAGAGAGAGAGAGAGAGAGAGAGAGAGAGAGAGGGUACAUUCACCUAGUCCACUUUAAUGCAUGACCCAGCUGUUAACCUUUUCAGUAGAGUGACCUGUAUGUAUUAAUCCUAUAGGAGGCAGUCUGUCAUUGUAAAAGCUGGCUGCGUAUGAAGGACCAGUGUUGGGGAGUAGUGAACUACAUGUAGUCCAACUAGUAACUACAUUUUGCAGGAACUUGAUGGUAGCUGAGUUAAAUUACAAUCUUAGUCGUGUUUUCAGUAGUUCAUUACUUUUCUGCCAUGUAGAGGUCUGGCUAGCUACUGGAACUACACACUACUUUUUUUGUGCAAAAAGUAGGAAAAAAAACGAAACGGCAUCAGACCUGCCUAAUUCUCACUUGAGACAUAGUUUUUGUGUUUAAUAGGAUAAAUGACACAUUCUGUUAACGUCUAUCUACAGAGCGAUCUGUUCUUGCUAUUUGUAUUCUAUGACAUUUCAAAUGUACAUAUCAUUUUUCAUGGAGUAGUUUGGAUGCAGUGAACUGCUUUUUAAAAGUAACUUUAGUUCAGUAAACUAUAAACUCUUUCUUAAGGGCAGCUUUAGUGUAGUUUAACUUCUUCCAGUGUGCAGUAAUUGGUAGCUUGGAAAACUAUAUUUUCAGAGCAGCUUCCCCAACAGUGUCAAGGACACACUGACAGGUUGUAGUCACCUCUCUAGAGAAAUGGGAAGCAGGGGAUAUCCUGUGCUGAAGUCUCCCAGGUUAGAUGGACCGAUAUGAUUUACUAUGACUUACAUACAGCAUUUUAGUGCAUUGAAUGAACUCUCCAGAGGUGAUGCAUUUGAUUUAAAAUAGGGGUCAAUAGGGUACGUUUCUAUCAAUAGCAACAGUGUUGUAGUGUGAUGUAAGGUGGUAGCCAAGGAGAUACUUUUCAUAAGGAGAAAAUGUUCCGAAAGGGAAUUUCAGCCUCCCUCUCUCUCUUUCUCUUUCUUUCGCUUCUUCACCCUCUGUGUCCUCUUGUAUGAGUGUUCACUGUUCCACACUGCACACACACACACACACACACACACACACACACACACACACACACACACACACACACACACACACACACACACACACACACACACACACACACACACACACACACCCCUAAGCGCCUGGGCCUAAUGGGAAUGUGGCUUCAGUGGUGUGUAGCGAUUGAACACGACAUCUCUGCAUGGGCUUCAGCAGAAUAACACCUGUCCCCCUUUAUCCAAGGAGAAAAGCUGGAAAUUACCUUCCUCUGAGAGUUGGAUUGUAUUAGCUCUCCUCCUGCACAAGAUUUGUUUCACUCCCUCCUUUUCCACUUUCUCUUCCUUUUUCUUUUUUUCCCAAAUAUUUUAUCUUGUUUCACCUGCGCUUGUUUGUGAUGAAAUGAUGCAUGUUGAAUACAAACCAGUCUGUGGGUGAGAGUGGUUCAAAUGAGUAAAUGUUAUAUAAAUGUUACCUGGAUGUUACAAGGGGUGGUUUUUUUCGGUUCCCUCAGCUCUCUCUGUUUGAAGUAGUGUUGGGUUAUGAUUGGUUUAUCCUGCGAGACUGAUCCGAGAUCAAAGGUCAUAUUCCAUACAGAUCCAUAGUGCCGCCAUUUUGGUUUUCCAUUGGAACCUACAAGGUCCUGGAAGGAAAGAGUCACAAUGCCAGCUCUCUCAGUGAAAGAGGAGAGAGGACUCUUUCCAGACUCUCCAGUCUUCCUGAAGGAAACAGCUACAACAAACAAACAAUUAUGGGGAUUUAAAGGUACGAUACCCACUGAUCUCCUCUCUCAGAGACACUACACCUGAAAACUCUACAGAGGAACUGCUAUGCUACCGGAGGCUAACUGUGACUGACUCUGCCCUUCACCAUUCACACACAGAGGGAUUCUCAAGGAACCUGGCGAGAACGUUUAAAAACACACGCUCGGAAAGGAGGAGUAAGACUGAAGCUCAUUCAAGUGCUCUCCUGCUCAAGGACCUGCCUCGAUCAUCACACAUCGUUUCCACAACAUUCCCAGAGUGCUUCUGUCACGUCAUAGCAACGUUUGCCCAUUUGUAAAAUGGUCCUUUAGCCAAAUACAGUGGCAAUUAUAUUUGUAUUUUGUAAUAAUAAAAAGUAACCCAGUGGGGGCUCUUC